rnacentral:lncRNA from 1 species
GCUUGUUAUUGUUAUACAGUGGGCAUUCUGCUGAGGACGUCCAUGGCUACGCUAUAUCUUCUCCCAGAGUUUGUGUUUUUAUGCCCAGAUGUAUGAUCCACUGGCGUUUGCUUUCAGCACAGGGUGAGAGAGAUGGGCAGAGUCGAUCUUGCGCACGUGGACCACCAGUUUUCCCAGCGCCCUUUUUCCAUGGCCUGUGUUUUCUCCAGCCUAGGUUAUUGGCUCCUUUGCCCAAGAUCCAGUGGCUGAAGGUUUUUGGGGUUGUUUCUGCACCCUCUAUUCUGUUCCCUGUGUCCAGCUGUCUGUGUGCGUGCAUUGGUACCAUUCUGUCUCUCGUGGUCUGCCCAGGGACGGAAGUGAGGAAGUCUUCCCGUUCCUUAGGAGACAGUCUGAGUCUCCCGAGGAUGUUCCCCCCGGGUGUCCUGUUGUCUCACUGAGAGAGCCAUUCAUUCACUUCCAUUGGCUCCGGGGUUUGUACUGGGUCUUGAGGUGAGUUCAGGUCAUGACUGUUGUAUGUGUGCGUGUGUGUGUUUGUGUUUGCAGGACCUGAAGACCACCUGGAACCAAGAGGAAGUGGCGUGGGAGGCCGUUUCCGCCUGGUGAGUGUGAGGGUCACGGGCUGUGGAGGCAGAGGUGGCCUGUGAGAUCUCAGGUGCAGGGAAAAGCGGGAAGUGGUCAGUUUCCCUACUUGAUCUAUUCUGCCAAGCUGGAAGUGAACUCUUUUCAGAGUUUGUUUUUGUCUUGGAUCGCACCUCCCCUUACUUUGCAGGAUUGGUCACCUGGAGUCCCUGUCGCCCACAGGUGAACUACACUGGGGUUUCCCUGCACUCAGGGCAGGGCAGCUCAACACUCUCCUGUGGGAGGCCGUUGAGCGAGGAGACACUCCCCCUCUUUGUGCAGUUUGGCCUUAGUUUGGUGGUGGGGAUUCCACAGCACACAUUGGCCCCAAAGCAAAAAGCAAAUCCUGCGCAAGUGCAGUAUGGAAAGGACAGGCUCCGCAGACCCGGGAUCACUGGGCUUCAGCAGUUCCUCAGGUCCCUUUGUUCCCAGGUGCCCUGCAAGUAACAUGGAGCCCAGUGCUCUGAUGUUGGAGCACCUGGAUGCUUCUCAGUGUAUGUGCCACACACCUGCUCACACUGAGCUGUGUGUACCCCUCCAGGCCCUUUAUGGAAAUCUUUUGCGUAGGGACCCUGGGAAUUUGCUGCUGUGUGCAGGCUGCUGGGCCUUUCCUGGGAUCCUCCUGCCACGGAACUCUUGACUGCUCCAGAAUGCCCCCUGUGUGUCCUGUGGCCUCUCUUUAGGGGUCCAGGGUGGACCAGGGGAUAGCUGUGAAGGCCAGUCCUUCCUGGUUACCAUGCUGUUCUCCUUACAGGUACCUGGAGGGCGGAGACAGUGCCACCAAUUACCUGGCACACAGUGUAGAUGAAAGUUAUUUGACCUUUUCCACAUGGCGCAACUUCUCAGCGUUCCCCGAGCCUGCCUGGAGUCCGGGCUUCCGAGCUCCAGUACGUCUAGCAAACCUGAAGACUCCAUCCAGAGAGAACACUGGUGAACCUGCUCCUCAGUGGCACAGGACAUGACUGGGCUCCCCUGCUGGCUGGGAGGCUAACAAUGGUAGACCCAGUGCCCUUGGGCCAUUGCAAAAGCAGCUCUACCAUAAGCAAGAGCACUGGUUCUUGGGUGUGCUGACUGACAGUGCCUGCUCGUUCAAACACGUGACAGCUGGAUAGAGACGUGCUGAGUGAAGUUCCUGCCGACCUUGUUCCAAAUGGCGUUGACUUUCUCAGGCUGGAAGCAAGACUCAGUUGGCAGUUUCCAGUUCUCACCUGGUCCUGGUUCUUCCACAUUACUGAUCCAGGUGUUUGCCUUCCACACUGCAUUGUGGUAGCCACUCGACCAGUAGGCACAACCUGCUGGACUCCUGCCACCACGUCAUGUGCUCACGGAUGGGGCAGGUGUUUGUAGUGGGCUCUCAGUCACAGCAUGACUCCAUAGCACUUGUGCCUGCUUGCUCUAAACCAAACAAUUAGACAGUUCACAGAGAUUAUUGUGUUUUCCUUACGCUGCUGCCCAUCAGCUUUUCAAAAAUUAUAUUUAGGAGGAUUUAAAAAGAGGGAGGAUUGUGAAGUGCUGUGUACAUGCACUAAGUCCCUGAGAGGAAUGUGAUCAUCAUGCAAUACAAACAUAUCUCUGUGUAUAUAUCUGUCUCCAGGAGAUGCAGAGAGGGAG